rnacentral:rRNA from 1 species
UCUGGCACCUUCGGUGUCCGAGUUGUAAUUUGAAGAAGGUAACUUUGGAGUCAGCUCUUGUCUAUGUUCCUUGGAACAGGACGUCACAGAGGGUGAGAAUCCCGUGCGAUGAGAUGUCUGAUUCUAUGUAAAGUGCUUUCGAAGAGUCGAGUUGUUUGGGAAUGCAGCUCUAAGUGGGUGGUAAAUUCCAUCUAAAGCUAAAUAUUGGCGAGAGACCGAUAGCGAACAAGUACAGUGAUGGAAAGAUGAAAAGAACUUUGAAAAGAGAGUGAAAAAGUACGUGAAAUUGUUGAAAGGGAAGGGUUUGAGAUCAGACUUGGUAUUUUGUAUGUCUUGCUUUCGGGUGGGGCCUCUACAGUUUACUGGGCCAGCAUCGGUUUGGACGGUAGGAUAAUGACAUUGGAAUGUGGCACCACUUCGGUGGUGUGUUAUAGACUUUGUUGAUACUGCCUGUCUAGACCGAGGACUGCGUCUUUGACUAGGAUGCUGGCAUAAUGAUCUUAAACCGCC